CUUUACUGUAACCUGGAAUUGGGUUCGGGCUUUGCUUGCGCAGGAUAGGUGGGAGGCUAAGAGACUACUCUUGUGGGGGUAGUGGAGCCAACGGUGAGAUACCACUCUGCAACAGCUAGAAGUCUAACCGAUUGCCGUUAUCCGGCAUUGGAACCGUGUCAGGUGGGCAGUUUGACUGGGGCGGUCGCCUCCUAAAAGGUAACGGAGGCGCGCAAAGGUUCUCUCAGGCUGGUUGGAAAUCAGCCGUAGAGUGUAAAGGCAUAAGAGAGCUUGACUGUGAGACCCACAAGUCGAACAGGGACGAAAGUCGGCCUUAGUGAUCCGACGGCACUGAGUGGAAGGGCCGUCGCUAAACGGAUAAAAGUUA
rnacentral:rRNA from 1 species